rnacentral:lncRNA from 1 species
AGAUACCAUAGUGAGAAAGGAUUCAUUUCGCAACACCUACGGCUUCCACUAGAUGUCAACGAUCUUUAUAAAGUUGUUUGAAGCGUCUAUGAUAAACAGAGAGAAAAUUAGAAUCCAAGGAAGUUGACAUGUCAUCACUUCAUUUUUUUGCGCCUGCGCAUAAAUCUGAGAGACGUGAGUUUGUCAUCAUUUUUUAUCUAGACAUAGGAUAGGUUGUGUGAAAAUAUUACUGAUGUUUAACGUUAAAAAUGGACCAAAAGAUUAAUGCUAAACAACAUUUGACAUGUUUGAACGAACAUAAAUAGAUUAUUUACUAGGUUUUUUAGCUUUUCGGCGUGAUUUUACCAGCCCCACACCACGUUUUGUGGGAGCAUAAUGAACGCUAAGUACUUGGUGUUAUUUGGACAUAAAUUAUGAACUUUGUCAAAAGAAACCACAUUUGUUCCGGACCUGGAAUGCCUUCCGGACCUGGGAUCCUGCCUUCUGAUGGAGAUAAUCAAAGAGUGCGAGCUGAUCAAGGGGUCAAAUGUAGAUAUUGCCAGAUGUUCACUGUCCAAGGAACAGGCCAUAGAAGCUUUAUUGCUGGCAAAAGUGUCCAUAACCAGAGGCAACAGCUCUACAAGGCAUUGAGGGGAAAAAUCAACACAACAAAAAGAGCGGUGAGCAAAGGCCUUCUCUCCUUCCACUUCUUUCCAGAUGCCGCUGUGCCGGAGUAUCCAAAGUCACAGGGGUUUGUGCUUAGUCCUCUCCUGUACUCACUGUUCAACCAUGACUGCGUGGCUGUGAACGACUCCAACACCAUAAGUUUGAUGACACAACAGUGAUAGGCCUGAUCACCAACAACGAUAAGACAGCCUCCAGGAAAGAGGUCAGAGACGUGGCAAUGUGGUGACAGAACAACAACCUCUCCCUCAACGUCAGCAAGACUAAAGAGCUGAUUGUGGACUACAAGAAAAGGAAGGCUGAGCACGUCCCCAUCCACAUCGAUGGGGUUGUAGUGGAGCAGGUCAGGAGCAUCAAGUUUCUCAGGAAUUAUCAUGGUCCACACACACACACCACCAGUCGUGAAGAGGGCACGACAACACCUUUCCCCCCUCAGGAGACUGAAAAGAUUCAGCAUGGGCCCUCAGAUCCUAAAAGUUCUACAACUGCGCCAUUGAGAGUGAGACAUUCUGCCUGUUUACCUUGUUCUUUAGCUGAUAUAAUGUGCCCGUGUCAUCCCUGAUUUUUAAGAAAUAAUUGUAUGGCUUGUAAAAAUAUGACCGGAGCCUCUUUCCUUUAAAAUGUCCUCCCUUUCCCACCAACCUUUGUCAUCUAUAUCCUCAACCUUACUGGACUACAACUCCCCUGUCUGAGACCAGGAGUGCAUCUCAAUAUUCUAGAAUUGCUGUUUCUUUUCAUCCCUUCUCCUUGAUCUAUAAUGAUGUUAGUGCUGUGACAGCAAUAGGGAGACUAUGUCAAGGAAUUUGCUCACCUGUCCAGCUCUUUCGCUGCAGAUAAAGGGGAGGAGGGGAAAACACUUUAGACUAUUGAGAUACACCCAGGGUAAUUUCUGCAACAUCCCUGGUAUCAAACGUUCAGACAGACUUCAGUUAUUCUGGAAAGAGAAUACUGGCAUCCCCUGCUCUCACCCCAAGUGAUUCAGCUG